rnacentral:lncRNA from 1 species
AUCCACUCCCCUUUCCACACGAAAGAGAUUUCACUAUAGUUAGAAUUAUGGUACAGCCUAUUCACACAAACGGUGAUGCCUACUAUCUAACCUAUAGGUAAACAAGUGUAUGGAGAAUAAUCCUCUUCAACACCAACCCCUUGUGUCCAACAAUCCUGGAUCACAAGUCAAACAGAAAUAACUCUUUUGAAGAUAUUAACAAAGUGUAGUAUUAUCAAUCUUCUCUUGAUUGAUCUUCUCCUUAGAUAAAUAAUUCACUCAAUGAAUAAUAUACAAGUGUUCAAGAAAUAGAAUGA